UGCCCGGUAGUGUAAUUGGCAACACGGCGGAUUCUGGUUCCGUUGUUCUAGGUUCAAGUCCUAGCCGGGCAG
rnacentral:tRNA from 2 species